CUGGAAGAGCCAGGAAGCUCCAUGAGAGCUCAAGAACCCUAAUCAAGAAAUCAUCAAAUUGAAAGGUUAAAUGAAGCUUAAACUCUUAACCGAGCACGGAUUAUUGAUCACCUUCACAAGGGGAUCGCGAGGAUGGAUAGCAUGUCUACGGGCUCAAGUAUGGAGGCUAACGGGUCAAAAGGAAGCAUGGAACCUAUGCUUGAACAUGGACGCUCAAGGUUGUACGAAGAACAGAUUACCAUCAUGAGGUGUAGCGAUCAAAGACCGAGUCACAAGAUAGAUUGUACAGGGAUCCUUGAUUAUGUAAAAUGAUAGUUAUAAGCUAUGCUUUUAUUUUGUAAAUGUGUACAAAAGAUACCUAUAUUGUAAGAAGGUAUUUUAUAAUGAACUUGCAAGUAGGUCAAAAAUGUUUUUAACGAAAGAAAUUUUAUGGUAAAAA